rnacentral:rRNA from 2 species
CCCUAAGAUUAGGUCUCCCAUCCGGAUAACGGAGUAAGACUCCUUGCAGACUACAAGGUGGAUAGGCCGGAGGUGUAAGCGUGGCAACACGUUCAGCCGACCGGUACUAAUAAGUCGAGGGCUUGGUUCG